rnacentral:rRNA from 1 species
GACGAACGCUGGCGGCGUGCUUAACACAUGCAAGUCGAACGGAAAGGCCCUGCUCUUGUGGGGUGCUCGAGUGGCGAACGGGUGAGUAACACGUGAGUAACCUGCCCUUGACUUUGGGAUAACUUCAGGAAACUGGGGCGAAUACCGGAUAGGAGCUCCUGCUGCAUGGGGGGGGUUGGAAAGUUUCGGCGGUUGGGGCUGGUCUCGCGGGUUAUCGGCUUGUUGGUGGGGUAGUGGCUUGCCAAGGCUUUGACGGGUAGCCGGCCUGAGAGGGUGACCGGCCACCUUGGGACUGAGAUACGGCCCAGACUCCUACGGGAGGCAACAGGGGGGAAUAUUGCCCAAUGGGCGGAAGCUGGAUGCAGCAACGCCGCGUGCCGGAUGACGGCCUUCGGGUUGUAAACCGCUUUCGACUGUGACGAAGCGUGAGUGACGGUAAUGUGUAAAGAAGCACCGGCUAACUACGUG